GCGGAUGGAGCUGAAGCCAGUCGCAGAUACCAGCUGGCUGCAACUGUUUAUUAAAAACACAGCACUGUGCAAACACGAAAGUGGACGUAUACGGUGUGACGCCUGCCCGGUGCUGGAAGGUUAAUUGAUGGGGUUAUCCGUAAGGAGAAGCUCUUGAUCGAAGCCCCAGUAAACGGCGGCCGUAACUAUAACGGUCCUAAGGUAGCGAAAUUCCUUGUCGGGUAAGUUCCGACCUGCACGAAUGGCGUAAUGAUGGCCAGGCUGUCUCCACCCGAGACUCAGUGAAAUUGAACUCGCUGUGAAGAUGCAGUGUACCCGCGGCAAGACGGAAAGACCCCGUGAACCUUUACUAUAGCUUGACACUGAACAUUGAGCCUUGAUGUGUAGGAUAGGUGGGAGGCUUCGAAGCGUGGACGCCAGUCUGCGUGGAGCCAACCUUGAAAUACCACCCUUUAAUGUUUGAUGUUCUAACGUUGCCCCAUUAUCUGGGGUGCGGACAGUGUCUGGUGGGUAGUUUGACUGGGGCGGUCUCCUCCCAAAGAGUAACGGAGGAGCACGAAGGUUGGCUAAGCAUGGUCGGACAUCAUGCGGUUAGUGCAAAGGCAUAAGCCAGCUUGACUGCGAGAGUGACGGCUCGAGCAGGUACGAAAGUAGGUCUUAGUGAUCCGGUGGUUCUGAAUGGAAGGGCCAUCGCUCAACGGAUAAAAGGUACUCCGGGGAUAACAGGCUGAUACCGCCCAAGAGUUCAUAUCGACGGCGGUGUUUGGCACCUCGAUGUCGGCUCAUCACAUCCUGGGGCUGAAGUAGGUCCCAAGGGUACGGCUGUUCGCCGUUUAAAGUGGUACGCGAGCUGGGUUUAGAACGUCGUGAGACAGUUCGGUCCCUAUCUGCCGUGGGCGUUGGAAGAUUGAAAGGGGCUGCUCCUAGUACGAGAGGACCGGAGUGGACGCACCACUGGUGUUCGGGUUGUCAUGCCAAUGGCAUUGCCCGGUAGCUAAGUGCGGAAGAGAUAACCGCUGAAAGCAUCUAAGCGGGAAACUUGCCUUGAGAUGAGUCUUCCCUGACCCUUUAAGGGUCCUAAAGGAACGUUUAAGACUAAGACGUUGAUAGGUUGGGUGUGUAAGCAUAGCGAUAUGUUGAGCUAACCAAUACUAAUGAACCGUGAGGCUUAACCUG
rnacentral:rRNA from 1 species